AUUGAACGCUGGCGGCAGGCUUAACACCUGCAAGUCGAGCGAGCGGCGGACGGGUGAGUAAUGUCUGGGAAACUGCCUGAUGGAGGGGGAUAACUACUGGAAACGGUAGCUAAUACCGCAUACCAUCAGAUGUGCCCAGAUGGGAUUAGCUAGUAGGUGGGGUAAUGGCUCACCUAGGCGACGAUCCCUAGCUGGUCUGAGAGGAUGACCAGCCACACUGGAACUGAGACACGGUCCAGACUCCUACGGGAGGCAGCAGUGGGGAAUAUUGCACAAUGGGCGCAAGCCUGAUCCAGCCAUGCCGCGUGUAUGAUGAAGGCCUUCGGGUUGUAAAGUACUUUUGGCAGAGAAGCGGUAUCUGCAGAAUAAGCACCGGCUAACUACGUGCCAGCAGCCGCGGUAAUAC
rnacentral:rRNA from 1 species